rnacentral:rRNA from 1 species
UACGUAGGGGGCUAGCGUUGUCCGGAAUCAUUGGGCGUAAAGCGCGUGUAGGCGGCCCGGUAAGUCCGCUGUGAAAGUCGGGGGCUCAACCCUCGGAUGCCGGUGGAUACUGUCGGGCUUGAGUGCGGAAGAGGCGAGUGGAAUUCCUGGUGUAGCGGUGAAAUGCGCAGAUAUCAGGAGGAACACCAAUUGCGAAGGCAGCUCGCUGGGACGUUACUGACGCUGAGACGCGAAAGCGUGGGGAGCAAACAGG